rnacentral:rRNA from 1 species
CAUUGGGAAUGAAAUAUCCCAAGUAGAGAACUCUACCAGCAGUCGAGAAUAUUAGUCAAUGCUCGCAAGAGUGAACUAGCUAACUGGAAUCAUGAGUGUGUCACUCGUGACUUGUAGAAGGAAAAUAAUGAUGACACUUUUACGAGUAGUUUUGUCCAAAGCUGGUGCCAGAAGACUCGGUAAUGCCAGAGAAACAAGCGUUAAUCAUCCUGAUCAGGCGUAAAGGGUUUGUAGGCAGCUUUAAACAAUUAAAGAUUGAAUCAAAUAGAAGUUAAGAGAAUUCCUAGAUUAGGGUUGAUAUCUGUAUAAACUAGGAAGAAUACUAAAUAGCGAAGGCACUUUUCUAUCUAAUGAUUGACGCUGAGAAACGAAGGGGAGGAUCGAAAACAGGAUUAGAUACCCUAAUAUCCCUCUCUGUAAACGAUGAAUGGUAGUUGCUAGUAGUAAUAAUUAGUGACGAUGCUAACGCGUUAACCAUUCCGCCUUGUGAGUACAACUGCAAAGUUGAAAACAAAAAAUUAGUCGGUUUCGGAGCAA